GCCCCCCCAGGGAUCCGGUGCUGGAGGGGCUGGUCCAGCGCUGCGUCCCUGUGCAGUGCCGCCCGGCCACCGACGAGGAGCUGCUGCUGGUGCACAGCCCCUCGUUCGUGGCACAGCUGG